AGUGAACGCUGGCGGUAGGCCUAACACAUGCAAGUCGAACGGCAGCACAGUAAGAGCUUGCUCUUACGGGUGGCCAGUGGCGGACGGGUCAGGAAUACAUCGGAAUCUACUUUUUCGUGGGGGAUAACGUAGGUAAACUUACGCUAAUACCGCAUACCACCUACGGGUGAAAGCAGGGGAUCUUCGGACCUUGCGCGAUUGAAUGAGCCGAUGUUGGAUUAGCUAGUUGGCGGGGUAAAGGCCCACCAAGGGGACGAUCGGUAGAUGGACUGGGUGGAUGAUCAGCGACACGGGAAGUGAGACACGGACAAGGGGACUACGGGAGGGAGCAGAGGGGAAUAGUGGACAAUGGGGGGAAACAUGAUACAGAGAUAGGGCGUGGGAGAAGAAAACCUUGGGGUUGGAAAGCCCUUUUGUUGGGAAAGAAAAGCAGCAGGUUAAUACCAAGCUGUAGUGACGGUAACGAAAGAAGAAGCACCGGCUAACUACGUG
rnacentral:rRNA from 1 species